AGGACGAACGCUGGCGGCACGCUUAACACAUGCAAGUCGAACGGUGAAAGUAGCUUGCUACUGGAUCAGUGGCGGACGGGUGAGUAACACGUGAGCAAUCUGCCUCUAAGUGGGGAAUAACGUUUGGAAACGGACGGUAAUACCGCAUAAUAUACAUUGACCGCAUGAUCGGUGUAUCAAAGAUUUAUCGCUUAGAGAUGAGCUCGCGUCUGAUUAGAUAGUUGGUGAGGUAACGGCCCACCAAGUCGACGAUCAGUAGCCGGACUGAGAGGUUGAACGGCCACAUUGGGACUGAGACACGGCCCAGACCCCUACGGGAGGCAGCAGUGGGGAAUAUUGCACAAUGGGCGCAAGCCUGAUGCAGCGAUGCCGCGUGAGGGAAGAAGGUUUUCGGAUUGUAAACCUCUGUUGACAGGGACGAUAAUGACGGUACCUGUUCAGAAAGCUCCGGCUAACUACGUGCCAGCCGCCGC
rnacentral:rRNA from 1 species